rnacentral:rRNA from 1 species
AGGGUGUAAACGCUGCAGACUUGGUGUUGGAAGCCCUUUGGGGGCAUUCAGUGCCGGAGAGAAGUUGUUAAGUCUGCUACUUGGGGAGUACGUCCGCAAGGAUGAAACUUAAAGGAAUUGGCGGGGGAGCACCGCAACGGGAGGAGCGUGCGGUUUAAUUGGAUUCAACACCGUAAAGCUCACCAGGGAAGGCUGUUACAUGAAGGCCGAGAUGAAGACUCUGCUAGAUUUUCAGAGAGGUGGUGCAUGGCGUCAGUGACU